AUCACUGGGUGAAAUGGUAGUUUUAUGUUUAGUUCUUUGAGGAACCCCCAUACUGUUCUCCACAGUGGCUGCACCAAUCUGCAUUCCCACCAGCAGGGCAUGAGGGCUCC